rnacentral:lncRNA from 1 species
GGGUGACGGAUCAUACUUGCCAGCCGGCUAAUAUCAUAAUUAGCGAAGUUGCUACUAUGUCUGCAAAGUUUAAUCGAAAAAUUUAUCAGUAAUAUGAUGACAUCGUCACAGAGAUCACAAGGGACACAGAGUCGACUUUUGCUCAAGAUGGAAUGAAACUGUGUGGACAAGAUGAGAAAUUCCGAACCUGCUCGGCCAAA